GGGGUUGUGGCUCAGUGGUAGAGCACUUUCCUAGCAUGUGUGAGCACUGGGUUCGAUUCUCAGCACCACA
rnacentral:tRNA from 1 species